UACGUAGGGGGCAAGCGUUGUCCGGAUUUAUUGGGCGUAAAGAGCGUGUAGGCGGCCUGACAGGUCUGCUGUGAAAACUCGAGGCUCAACCUCGAGAUGUCGGCGGAAACCGUCUGGCUAGAGUCCGGAAGAGGAGAGUGGAAUUCCUGGUGUAGCGGUGAAAUGCGCAGAUAUCAGGAAGAACACCUAUGGCGAAGGCAGCUCUCUGGGACGGUACUGACGCUGAGACGCGAAAGCGUGGGGAGCGAACAGA
rnacentral:rRNA from 1 species